GAUGAAGAACGUAGCGAAAUGCGAUAAGUAGUGUGAAUUGCAGAAUUCAGUGAAUCAUCGAAUCUUUGAACGCACAUUGCGCCCCCUGGUAUUCCGGGGGGGCAUGCCUGUUCGAGCGUCAUUUCAACCCUCAAGCUCUGCUUGGUAUUGAGUCCAUGUCAGCAAUGGCAGGCUCCAAAAUCAGUGGCGGCGCCGCUGGGUCCUGAACGUAGUAAUAUCUCUCGUUACAGGUGCUCGGCGUGCUUCUGCCAAAACCCCAAUUUUUCUAUGGUUGACCUCGGAUCAGGUAGGGAUACCCGCUGAACUUAAGCAUAUCAAUAAGCGGAGGA
rnacentral:misc_RNA from 1 species